rnacentral:rRNA from 1 species
GAUGAACGCUGGCGGCGUGCCUAAUACAUGCAAGUCGAGCGAACGGACGAGAAGCUUGCUUCUCUGAUGUUAGCGGCGGACGGGUGAGUAACACGUGGAUAACCUACCUAUAAGACUGGGAUAACUUCGGGAAACCGUAGCUAAUACCGGAUAAUAUUUUGAACCGCAUGGUUCAAAAGUGAAAGACGGUCUUGCUGUCACUUAUAGAUGGAUCCGCGCUGCAUUAGCUAGUUGGUAAGGUAACGGCUUACCAAGGCAACGAUGCAUAGCCGACCUGAGAGGGGGGUCGGCCACACUGGAACUGAGACACGGUCCAGACUCCUACGGGAGGCAGCAGUAGGGAAUCUUCCGCAAUGGGCGAAAGCCUGACGGAGCAACGCCGCGUGAGUGAUGAAGGUCUUCGGAGCGUAAAACUCUGUUAUUAGGGAAGAACAUAUGUGUAAGGAACUGUGCACAUCUUGACGGUACCUAAUCAGAAAGCCACGGCUAACUACGUG